CAUGCCUUACACAUGCAAGUCGAACGGCAGCACGGGAGCUUGCUCCUGGUGGCGAGUGGCGAACGGGUGAGUAAUAUAUCGGAACGUGCCCUAGAGUGGGGGAUAACUAGUCGAAAGAUUAGCUAAUACCGCAUACGAUCUAAGGAUGAAAGUGGGGGAUCGCAAGACCUCAUGCUCGUGGAGCGGCCGAUAUCUGAUUAGCUAGUUGGUGAGGUAAAGGCUCACCAAGGCGACGAUCAGUAGCUGGUCUGAGAGGACGACCAGCCACACUGGAACUGAGACACGGUCCAGACUCCUACGGGAGGCAGCAGUGGGGAAUUUUGGACAAUGGGCGAAAGCCUGAUCCAGCAAUGCCGCGUGAGUGAAGAAGGCCUUCGGGUUGUAAAGCUCUUUUGUCAGGGAAGAAACGGUAGAGGCUAAUAUCCUUUACUAAUGACGGUACCUGAAGAAUAAGCACCGGCUAACUACGUGCCAGCAGCCGCGGUAAUACGUAGGGUGCAAGCGUUAAUCGGAAUUACUGGGCGUAAAGCGUGCGCAGGCGGUUGUGCAAGACAGAUGUGAAAUCCCCGGGCUCAACCUGGGAAUUGCAUUUGUGACUGCACAGCUAGAGUGUGUCAGAGGGGGGUAGAAUUCCACGUGUAGCAGUGAAAUGCGUAGAUAUGUGGAGGAAUACCGAUGGCGAAGGCAGCCCCCUGGGAUAACACUGACGCUCAUGCACGAAAGCGUGGGGAGCAAACAGGAUUAGAUACCCUGGUAGUCCACGCCCUAAACGAUGUCUACUAGUUGUCGGGUCUUAAUUGACUUGGUAACGCAGCUAACGCGUGAAGUAGACCGCCUGGGGAGUACGGUCGCAAGAUUAAAACUCAAAGGAAUUGACGGGGACCCGCACAAGCGGUGGAUGAUGUGGAUUAAUUCGAUGCAACGCGAAAAACCUUACCUACCCUUGACAUGGUCGGAAUCCUGAAGAGAUUUAGGAGUGCUCGAAAGAGAACCGACACACAGGUGCUGCAUGGCUGUCGUCAGCUCGUGUCGUGAGAUGUUGGGUUAAGUCCCGCAACGAGCGCAACCCUUGUCAUUAGUUGCUACGAAAGGGCACUCUAAUGAGACUGCCGGUGACAAACCGGAGGAAGGUGGGGAUGACGUCAAGUCCUCAUGGCCCUUAUGGGUAGGGCUUCACACGUCAUACAAUGGUACAUACAGAGGGCCGCCAACCCGCGAGGGGGAGCUAAUCCCAGAAAGUGUAUCGUAGUCCGGAUUGUAGUCUGCAACUCGACUACAUGAAGUUGGAAUCGCUAGUAAUCGCGGAUCAGCAUGUCGCGGUGAAUACGUUCCCGGGUCUUGUACACACCGCCCGUCACACCAUGGGAGCGGGUUCUGCCAGAAGUAGUUAGCCUAACCGUAAGGAGGGCGAUUA
rnacentral:rRNA from 1 species